rnacentral:rRNA from 1 species
ACCAGCCAUGCCGCGUGCAGGAAGACUGCCCUAUGGGUUGUAAACUGAUACAGGAAGAAACAGUGGUACGUGUACCACCUUGACGGUACUGUAAGAAUAAGGACCGGCUAACUCCGUGCCAGCAGCCGCGGUAAUACGGAGGGUCCAAGCGUUAUCCGGAAUCAUUGGGUUUAAAGGGUCCGCAGGCGGUCAAUUAAGUCAGAGGUGAAAUCCCAUAGCUUAACUAUGGAACUGCCUUUGAUACUGGUUGACUUGAGUUAUACGGAAGUAGAUAGAAUGUGUAGUGUAGCGGUGAAAUGCAUAGAUAUUACACAGAAUACCGAUUGCGAAGGCAGUCUACUACGUGUAUACUGACGCUCAUGGACGAAAGCGUGGGGAGCGAACAGGAUUAGAUACCCUGGUAGUCCACGCCGUAAACGAUGGCCUAGUUGUUGGAUUUAUCUAAUGCUAAGCGAAGUGAUAAGUUCCCACCU